CCUACGGGAGGCAGCAGUGGGGAAUAUUGGGCAAUGGGCGAAAGCCUGACCCAGCAACGCCGCGUGAAGGAAGAAUGCUUUCGGGUUGUAAACUUCUUUUAUCAGGGACGUAGCAAGUGACGGUACCUGAUUAAUAAGCCACCGCUAACUACGGGCCAGGAGCCGCGGUGAUCCGUAGGCGGCAAGCGUUAUCCGGAUUUAAUGGGUGUAAAGGGCGUAUGGGCGGGAAAGCAAGUUAGAUGUUAAAACCAUGGGCGGAACCUGUGGCGUGCAUUUGACACUGUUUUUCUUGAGUACUGGAGAGGCAGACGGAAUGCCUAGUGUAGCGGUGAAAUGCGUAGAUAUGAGGAGGAACACCAGUGGCGAAGGCGGUCUGCUGGACAGCAACUGACGCUGAGGCGCGAAAGCGUGGGGAGCAAACAGGAUUAGAUACCCCUGUAGUC
rnacentral:rRNA from 1 species